UUCUCCUUCUUCUCUUCUUUUCCUUCUUCUUCUUUUUUUUCUUCUCCUUUCUCCUUCUUCUUCUUCUUCUUUCUCCUUCUUCUUCUUCUCCUUCUUCUUUCUUCUCCUUCCCUUCCUUUUCCUUCUUCUUCUUCUUCUCCUUCCCUUCCUUUUCCUUCUUCUUCAUCUUCUUCUUUCUUCUCCUUCCCUUCGUUUUCCUUUUAAC
rnacentral:lncRNA from 1 species